rnacentral:rRNA from 1 species
UACGUAGGGUGCGAGCGUUGUCCGGAAUUAUUGGGCGUAAAGGGCUCGUAGGCGGUUUGUCGCGUCGGGAGUGAAAUCCACUGGCUUAACUGGUGGCUUGCUUUCGAUACGUGCAGACUGGAGGUAUGCAGGGGAGAACGGAAUUCCUGGUGUAGCGGUGAAAUGCGCAGAUAUCAGGAGGAACACCGGUGGCGAAGGCGGUGCUCUGGGCAGGUCCUGACGCUGAGGAGCGAAAGCGUGGGGAGCAAACAGG